GGCCCUUUGCUCCUGUGUGCGGUUUGUACCUGUGGAGAUCCCGGACAAAAUCUGUGGUUGUGCAUCAGAGUCAUUGAGCCUCAAGCCAGGAAAGACUGUGACUGUGAUCACAAUGAAUGGACGACAUGAGCUAAGCAUGCCAGAGUUGGCUUGUGAAGCAUGCGCUGCGACAUGGACGACUGGGGUUGACGACCUUCUUCGGAGUGACUACUGGCCAGCUACCCUUCACUUCGCCACCAUUUAUGCCACAGAUGUUUUCUU